UGCGUAGGCGGCUUUUUAAGUUUGGUGGUGAAAUCUCCCGGCUCAACUGGGAGGGUGCGCCGAAUACUGAGAGGCUAGAGUGCGGGAGAGGAAAGUGGAAUUCCUGGUGUAGCGGUGAAAUGCGUAGAUAUCAGGAGGAACACCGGUGGUGUAAACGGCUUUCUGGACCGUAACUGACGCUGAUGCACGAAAGCGUGGGUAGCAAACAGGAUUAGAUACCCUGGUAGUCCACGCCCUAAACGAUGCAUAUUUGGUGUGGGCCAUUCAUUUGGUCCGUGCCGGAGCUAACGCGUUAAAUAUGCCGCCUGGGGAGUACAGGUCGCAAGGCUGAA
rnacentral:rRNA from 1 species